rnacentral:lncRNA from 1 species
CCUUCCGUCGAUGUGCAGCGUAAACAUCCCACAAUAUUGCACCACCACCCCGUGCAGCACCAUCGCCCCCGCCAUCUACAGCAUCCCCAUGACAGCUACCUGUGCUGGUGGUGCCUGCUAAGAUCUGUGAUGUGCUAGCUAGAUCGAUCACCGUUUAGUUGAUCGAUGAAGAGUUAUAAAAUAAAAGUGCCAUACAUCAUCAUGUGUGGCCAGUACCUCUGUUUCUGAAUAAAGCUUUUGUCCGAAUAAAAUCGCAUGUUUUACAUGAUAAAUGAAAUGUCAGAAGCUUUUCACCUUACUGAACCUUCUUACGUGGUGGAGUUACGGUCAGCCUCAGCAGCAGGUUCAGUUUGAGAUAAUGAGCAUGGUGCUUCACACCCUCCCGUCGAAGCACAGUUCAUACAUCCCGGCUUAUUGCACCACCACCCCCCUACAGCAUGCCUGUGGCUAUUAUUACCUGUGCUGGUGGUGGCUGCUAAGAUCUGUGCUGUGCUAGCUGGAUCGAUCAGUGUUCAGUUGAUCGAUGAAGCGGUGACAAAAUAAUGUGGCCAGUACGGAAAUAACAAACAUCUGCUCCUGAAUAAAGGUGUUAGCUGAAUAAAAUUGCAUGUUCUGUACGGUAGAAGAAAUCUCAGAAGCAUCUUACUGGAAUGAACCAAAACUCUAUAUUGUAUGGCUCCCAUUAUAUCAAAAGAAAUUCAAAACAUGAAAGGAGAAAUAAUAGAGGCACAAGGAACAUAUGGAAAGAGACCAGAUCAAAAAGCACACAGCCACAAACAUGUAUGAGCAACAUAAAGAGUUACCGGAUUCGAAACAGCGUUGACAUAUUAAGAAUGUGCUUUCUUGUCCAGUCACAGAAUUAAUGCCAACCAAGCUGCUACAUAAGAAUUCAAUUAAUCCCCAUAGACCCAGUGCAGGAUGAUCACUUCCUGGAGACAAUAUAGAUCAACAUUCUUGUACACAAUACAUUUGCCAAGUCAAGAAACCAUGGGAGUUACAGAACCUAGUGGCUAACUGAAUAAUACAAAAGCAGGAAUCGACAGGACUGGCAUUGUGAAAGACUAAGAAAAGCCUUGCAACUGCAACAAGCAACGAUGACCAAUCACUGGUCAACCCCGUAAACCAAACUGGGAAGCACCCAGAGGCUAUUUAGUGGACUGCAAUGGGCAGUGGCUGCGGAACUGAAUGACAUACGGUGAGUCGAGCUGGGCACCGGCUGUCCAACCUCUAUUGCAGUCCAUGGCUCAUCAAAAUCUUCUGAUUUUGUUGGAACAUAAAUAUAGUUACUCUUUCCUCCCCAUCUUUCAGGGUUCAUGCAAGAAAAUGUAGGGUUUCUCCUAUCAUUGGUGAGGAAGAGAGCCCAAUUGUCCAACUUAUCCAUCUUCACCCACUUAGCUGGUUCAACUGAGAAGUCGAGGCGGAAGACUUGAAAGGUGCCAGGAAAGCCAAACAGUUGGUCCAUGCUUACCGAGAGAUCUACCAAGAGAAGCAUGUCACCACAGACCACCAACCAUGGCUUAGAAUGAAGGCCUACGAGCAUGCUCUGUUCCCACAUAACUGCUACUUCCUGCAUGCUGAGCUCAGGUGAUAUGUGUAUGGUAUGUAGCCUUUGAACAAAGUCCAUGGCAAACAUCUGGCCUUUGAAGAGCACAAUCUGAUGGAUGAGUUCACCAACCUGAGGGUGCUCUGUCCAAGAAUUUGUUCCAACCUGCCACUGGAGCAUGGAGAUUCUCGAGAAAAGGAUGAGACGUGAAUUGGGCGAAUCUAGUGGAGCCGUAAGGAUGCCAAGGUAGAUCAAAGUGUUGCUCUCAGAUUGGAAUUUUGGUGGCUUCACCUUUGUGCCAGUGUACACAUCGACGAGAUGGCAGUGUCUCCUAUCAGAGAAGAUAAGAUAACCAUAUGAGCAGCCCAGAUAGCGCAUGGGAUGUGGAGUAAUUCCAGGCGCUGAACAACGAUGGGAUAAACUUUUCUUAGCAGGAUCAACAAGCUGCGAUUUCCGAUCUGAGUUGUAACUCUCCUGGCUUACAUCUGGUUUGAGGUGGAGAGGUGGGAAGCUGAAGGUAUAUACAGAUGGGAAGGAAGAGGCUGCGGCGUGCCAUGAGUGACAGGUGCCACGGAAAGCAAGGAAGUCAUGAAAUGAGCUAAUGAGCGAAAUGAUUUGGUGGAGCAGGCUGUCUAGAAGGCUUUCCCAGGCAUGAGAUCCCGAUGAGGAUGAGGAAAUAGAUCCAGAGGCAUCACAGAUUUUCUUAGAGGGCCUUGCUGCAACAGCAACUUCCCUGUCAUGGAGAAAAUUCAAGGGUCAGAAGAAAGAACUCAAAUAUAACAGAGAUAUAGCUAGUAAUUUAUUAGAAAUGUGGUAUAUAUGUGACAGAGGAGGUUGAAUUGGAUUUCCGGUAUAUAUGCUCUUACUAUACACACUAAGGCAAAAAAGCACGACUGUUUAACUGAACAAAGUUUAUUCCCAUUGUGAGAUGUAUAUAUCAAUAAUUCAAUAUGAACACCAAUGGUUCCUUCGUUGAGGCUACGGGGCAGGGACGUGCUGGUGCUUUAGCAAGGGACCACAAUGGCGUGGUCUUGCUUUCUACCUGGAGAAAGAGAAGCCUGUGUUCUGAGGCAGAGGAGGUUGAAGCUGUUCGAUGUGGUGAUUGGUUUGUCUCCGUCAGUUAUCUGAAAUUUACAGGGCGGCUGGUUGUGGGUGAAACGGACUGCACGGCCUUGUGGGGUGUACUGUCAGAAAAUUCAGAGAACAGAUCCUGCCGGGACUUCUACUACAGCAAGACAGAGAGACUGACAGAGUGCAGGCUGCGCAUAUAGGAUUGCAAGAGAGAGCAAUGGAGCAGCCCACCCGCCUGCAAAUUAUCGUAGAACAAACUAUCGCCAAGGAACAGACAAGUAAAUUAAGUUUCCCAUUCGAUUGUAACAACGCAUAUCAAUAUGCUAAACUUUAACCAGAACAGGGUACGUCAGGAUCACCUACAGCAUGAUAUUCUGUACAACAGAGUAUUGUCCUUAAUGUGCAACCACCCUAUGGUAUAUAAUUGUUGUGUUCAACCACUCUACGGUGUAAUUUCUUGGACGAGUUGCGAACAAUUUUACUGUUCAGAGCUCCCAGUUCCCCUAUGUACAGUACAGUACAGAUCGAGUCCAAUAGCAAUUUCACGCAGGAUGUCAGGAGUCAGGACAGGCGGCAACGGGGAAGACUAGGCUAGAUCUGUUCAAUAAGCUUCGGAUUGAGAAACCUAAGAGACAAGCAAGGUUAGGGUAAGGGCGCGCGAGGCGAGCACCUGGAGCUGAGGCUGGCUGGUGCCGGCGGCGGCGAGGGUUCGGCGGCCUGCUGCGGUCGCGCUCUCCGGCGCCGGCGGUGGCGCCGGUUCCCUGUCAUGCGCGCACGUACGGUGGCGUCCCCUCAACCGGCGGCUCCGGAUCGGCGCCGCCUACUGGUCGUCGGCGAGCGGCGGUGGUCGUCUCUCACUUUUUCGGGCGGUGGAGAGGCGUCCGAGAGGAGGCGGACUUUUUGCAGUUCGGGCCAGCGUCUCGGCCUUUAGCGCUAGCACGGGCCAGCCCAAGCACGGUACUGGGCUGAGAUAUAGUAGGGCCAUGUUCAGCCCAAAGCGAGCACGGAGCAUCCAAACGGGCCGCCCACAGCGAGCAUGUUACAGAAUGCUUUUCUGAAACCAAACAGCACCGUGAGGCAUGGCUUAACGGGGCACCAGGAACGUCAUCGUCGCAGUCAGAGGAAGGGAUGUGGAAAAAACUGUGGAAAACGGAGUACCAGGCAAAGUCCGGAUGUUUCUAUGGAGAUUGUCAAAACACUCCCUUCCCACUGAGGAUGUGUGAGCUCACCGCCAUAUGACGACGUCUAGCAGCUGCGGGCUAUGUGGGAUGCCGGAUUCGUGGAAACAUUCGCUGAUUCAAUGCACAAUGUCCAGAUGUGUAUGGGCCUUGGUGGAUGAGGAACUUGCACAUGAAAUGAUGGCGCUGACAGAGCCUAAAGCGAAGCAAUGGCUGUUCGCACUUAUUGAGUCCCUCACACAUGAUGAGUCUGUCCUCCUGUAGAUUACUCUGUGGUCAAUCUGGCAUGCGAGGCGCAAGGCGAUCCACGAGGGGAUUUUUCAGAGUCCUCAGGCAACACAAAUUUUCAUCAACAGAUACCGUGACGAGCUUAAUAUGAUCCGUCCGACAGUAAGAUGAACGAGUGCACCAAAUGCUCCAGUGGGACCGCAGAGACCCAAGGCACCUCCGACGGGUUUUGCAAAAAUUCACGUUGACGCAGCAGUACGACCAGGGAGAGGUGGGUCAGCGGCAGCGGUUUGUCGUGAUUCAAAAGGAAAUUAUUUAGGAAGUUUAGCCCUGGUGGUGGAAGGAGUGGAUGAUCCGGCUUCUCUGGAAGUUAUGGCAUGCAGGGAGGCAAUGUGUUUGGCAGAGGAUCUCCUUAUCAACAACUACAUUGUUGCCUCUGAUUGCAAGCAAGUUGUCUCCGACAUAAACUCGGGUAGUAGAGGGCAAUAUGGUGUCAUUCUGUCCGAGAUCAAUCUUCGAGCUAUCCUUUUUCAAUGUAUUUUUUCUUUUGAGUGUCGUGUUGUAAAUUAUGAAGCACAUAGUCUAGCCAGAUUCUCUCUUAGAAGGGGACCGGGGCGUCAUAUGUGGCUUGGCCAAUCCCAUGACCUAUCUUGUAUCCCACUCUCUGUGGACUUCGAUUAAUAAAGCUGGCUUUAUCCUAAAAAAAAGCUCCCUUGUUUUCGUUGAUUUUUUUUCAAAUUUUGCUUAUAUUUCAAAUAAUUAAAAAUAUAAAUACCUUCAAAUUAAUCUACAUAUUUUUUAUAAAAAACUUACGUACCAAUAAAAUUAUUUAUGUAAUGUAAAAACUUGUUUUUGUAUUAUUUUAAAAAUAUGCAUAUCAUUCAAAAAAAAUUCAUGACAUAACAAGUGUUCAAGUGUUUCAAAAAUAUGUUUAUGACAUUUUAAAAAACUGACUUAGUUUUGGAAAAAAAAAUUGUACCAUUCAAAACAUAUUUUCCUCGCAUUUUAGAAAAUGUUGGUAACACUCCAAAAUUCCUAAGCACACCUCUAAGUGAGAUGAGAUAGCAUAGCCGUAUAGGUAUGGCUAAGCACACCUCUAGGUAUGUAUUUCUAAUAUUAAUCCAUAGGGCACACCCCAAUGUCACCUCAGGCAACCCCAAAAAUUAUACUAAACAAUCACCUUAUAAUCUUUAUCUUUUCAAUCAUAAUUCGUAGAGUCACCCCAAUGUGAGUACCGAUAUGUUCUAAAAUUAUACUAGAUAUGCAUCACAUAAUCUCAUUGAUUUGCAAAAGAUUAAAGCCUACUUAAAGGAACUCAUAGCAGGAGCAAAAUCCAAUUCAUUACACCGAUAAUAUAAGGGAUACAUCACAUAGUUCGACUCCAUUAACAAGCCCAUGGUAACAAUCAAGAUUGGAAAAUGAUCACAAGAGUGAGGUAAAACAUAUUGUUAUUGGUACAAACGCUCAACCACGAGAGUGGGCUAAAAUUGCAUCACCAUAGGAGUAGCACGGUGAUGGAGAGGUUGAAGAGGAUCAAUUCGACCCUCAGACAGGGUGCCAGACAAUGGCCGAAGAAGAUCGCUUCGGAUAGAGAAGUGUCGACAACAGAAAAAUCUUUCAAGCAUUUUUUAGUAUAUGUAGAGCAAGGGGGGCGAGAGGCGGCAGGGAGGAGGUCAAGGGGCUCUGCGCGUCCCAGCGCUAGGUUGCGUCGUGGGUCCAUGCGAUGGCCUGGUGCCCCCUCCAGGUGAGCUUCUAGCCCAAGGUCUCUUUUGGCUUGAAAGUUCACAAAAGAUUUUUAUUUCAAUUUUUUUGUCCUAAAAAAAUAUUACUUAUGCAAAUUCAAAAUAUAUGCAGUACUGACACUGGGCACUUAAUAGGUUAGUCGAAUAAAAUAAUAAAAAUGAUUCCAAAAUUAUGCAAAUGAUACAAAAAUAGCAUAAGAAAUCAAUUAUAGAUACGCUUGAGAUGUAUCAACCCCUGCAGGGUUAAAACUUUUCCAAUAGCCAUGCCCGCAGUCAUGUGACUACUUGCUGAUCUAUGCUUGAUCAUAUACAUCAUUAAUGGUUACCUUAAAAACUAUCAAGAUAAGCCUGAGUAUCUUUAAUUGCUUCUGCGUGGGUGAGUCGAGGAAUUAUGCAUGUUUAAAAAGCAUGUGUUCGUCACACCCAUGCAUGAGUGUUGUAACAAGAGAAAUCACAUAGCACGAGACGUGCCCUUACUAAAAGUUUUUUUGUCCAUGUGUUCGUCGAAUUUUAUGUGAACGGUCCUUUGCGAAUUCAACAAAGCAAGUUAGGACCUCGUCUCAACAUGACGUUUUCUCUUUUACCCCGACAUGAAGGUUGCACGUUUCACUACAUCGGGUAUCUCUUCUUGAGCAUCAAAAUGACUGAAUGCAUCUAAAAACUAAUCUUAUAUAUACCCAUGUAUAAAUUGUGACCAUUUCAACGUUAAGAUCUUGAUGCUAGGCCCACCCAACCCAGUGAAUAACAGAAUUUGCUUUUGACUAAAAGAAGGGCUUGGCGGCUUGAGUAUGGUUGGGCUUAGCAGCAGAUAUCAACCUUGGAGGAUUACAAACUCAUAGCUCACCUUGUACAAGAUCAGUUUCACAACAUUGGAGCAUAGCUCCAUGGCAAUCCUUGACAUGUAAAGAGCAUCCUAUGAGUCAUGCCGUGCUCUAGUAAUGCAUGUUUAUCUUACCAACUCAUAUAACAUUACAAAAUCAGUUCCAGGGAACAAUUAAUCAAGGAAAGAACGGAGUGUGUGAAUGGAAAAGCUAAUUCAUACCUAACUCACGUACAAGAUUACAUAAUGGGUUUUGCAAAAAGAUAUGCGACCCAAACUAUGCUUGACAUGUAAAGUGAUGAUUGAUGAGUCAUAUGCAGGUGAUAUGUGCCGAAAAGUACAUUUGAUGAUCAUCCAAGAUUAGACUUGUAGUGCCACCUAACACAAUAAUACGAGAUGAUCAUUUUAAAAAGCAUGGAGUGUGUGAAUGGAAAAGCUAAUUUAUACCUAACUCAUGUACAAGAGUACAGAAUGGGUUUUGCAAAAAGAUAUGUGACCCAAACUAUGCUUGACAUGUAAAUUGAUGAUUGAUGAGUCAUAUCCAGGUGAUAUGUGCCAAAAAGUAUAUUUGAUGAUCAUCCAAGAUUAGACUUGUAGUGCCACCUAACACAACAAUACAAGAUGACCAGUUUAAAAAGCAUCCAUUUGCUUUUGUAAAGUAAUAUAGGAAUGGAAUGCAGCAAACUAGAACAUGCCAACUAUAAGUAUGCAUGUACCAUGAAGACCACAAUCAACCUUUAGACAACCACAAUCAUCCAAGCAACUUGAGGCUAGCCACCAUGAAGACAAUGUUCAUCCUCGCUCUCCUCGCCCUUGCAGCAUCCACCGCCACUGCCCAAUUGGAAACCAUCUGUAGCCAGGGCUUCGGACAAUGCCAACACCACCAACAAGUGGGGCAACAACAGUUGCUGGAUCAGAUGAAGCCAUGUGUGGCUUUCGUACAACAUCAAUGUAGCCCAGUGGGAACACCAUUCUCCCAAACACGGGGAGAGCAACAUAGCAGUUGCCAAACCGUGCAACACCAAUGCUGUCGGCAGCUGGUGCAGAUCCCAGAACAGGCCCGGUGCAAGGCCAUCCAGAGCGUGGAAGAGGCUAUCAGUCAACAACAGCCCCAACAAGAAUGGAAUGAGCCCCAACAGGAAGCACAACUUAAGAGCAUGAGGAUGUUGCUUCAGACCCUGCCGUUUAUGUGCAACAUCUACGUCCCGGUACAAUGCCAGCAACAGCAUCAACUUGGGCGACAACAACAACAACAGUUGCAGGAGCAGUUAAAACCGUGUGCGGCAUUCCUACAACAUCAAUGUAGGCCAAUGACAGUGCCAUUCCCGCAUACACCGGUGCAUAAGCCCACCAGCUGCCAGAGCGUGCAGGCCCAAUGCUGCCGGCAGCUAGCACAGAUCCCAGAGAAAUUCCGCUGCCAAGCCAUCCGUAAUGUGGUAGAGUCUAUCAGGCAACAACAACAUCACCAACCACAACAAGAAGUACAACUUGAGGGCCUGAGGAUGUCACUUCACACCCUACCGUCGAUGUGCAAAAUCUACAUCCCUGUACAAUGCCCAGCCACCACCACCACCCCCUAUAGCAUUACCAUGACAGCUAGCUAUACCGAUGGUACCUGCUAGUUGAUCAAUAUAGCAGUGGCAAAAUAAAAAUGGCAUGCAUCAUCAUGUGUGCCUAGUACUAAUUGCAACAUGAAAAUAAUGAACAGAUGUUCCUGAAUGAAGCACUUGUCUAAAUAAAGCUACAUGUUUGCAUGAUAUAUUAAGUCUAUGAUUUUUCUGACUGAACUUAACCAUCACCAUACUCUGUAUAU